rnacentral:rRNA from 1 species
AGAUUGAACGCUGGCGGCAUGCCUUACACAUGCAAGUCGAACGGCAGCACGGGAGCAAUCCUGGUGGCGAGUGGCGAACGGGUGAGUAAUAUAUCGGAACGUGCCCAGUCGUGGGGGAUAACGCAGCGAAAGCUGUGCUAAUACCGCAUACGAUCUC